GAAAGCUGACUGUCAUUCCACCAGAAGCAGAGGGGUAUUCUGUCAAAGCUCUGCGAGCUCCAUCAGCAGGGGGCAAAGCCACUUUUUACAUCGUACCACUCCAGGAGACUUUAGACACCUCUCCUCUGCCUCCUGACUCACAGCAUUUUUCAAAAAUGCCAAAGAAGACAUGCUACCAGUGUAAUGAGGUGAUGCCUUUGCAUAUGCUUGCAGUACACAUUAAGACAUGCAAGGGAAAACUCUCCUCCGAUGAGACUGGUGAAGAGUCCUCUGAUGAGUUAUGGGUUGUGGAGAAGUGCAAGGUGGUUUGUCCAAUUUGCACCAAAGAAUUCCCAGACGAUGAGAUCACAUUCCAUGCUAGCCUAUGUGGAGAGAGCUUUGAAUGUACAGUGACUUCUGAAGCAAAUGGCAGUGGCCUAAGUACGCAUGCUCAAACUCCAGUAUGUAAACCAAGAAGGUAUGUUUUAUUUAGAUGCCCUUUGUGUGAGUUUAUAUCAAAUACAUAAAUAUUUAUGUGCACCAUAAUUUACACAAUUUAUGUUUUCAUGUUUUUUAGCCAUCUUAUCCAGACAUCAUAUUCUAUCAAAUGAUUUAACACAGCACAUGGUGCAGUAAUUUAUAAUCACAUGUAAUUUGAUUCUUUUCCAAACACUGUUAAGCAUACUGCUUGAUGGAACUUUGAAAUGGCAAUAAUGUAUACGAAUUGUUUUUGAUAAUUUGGGACUAUC